rnacentral:lncRNA from 10 species
GGUCAAUCAGGCAGUUACCAAUAUUUGCCGAAAUAAAUGUGUGUGCAAAUACACCCAGACACUGUAUCCACACACCCUCACACAGAGGCAUGACAAUGAAGUUUCACACAGCGUGGGUGCACUCCCCCCAACAUUCUCUUCCUUGGGUGUGAAUCAUGCUCUUUUUAUGCCUAAAGAAGGAUCAGGCAUUUCCUUAUGAGAUUUUUCCUCACUCAAAAAAAAAGAAGCUGACUUUAAAUUGUGGGCCAUAUUCCACAUUUACAAGACCCAGGGAUAGCUUUGCUGUAGACACUUACCUGUGUGGGAAUGGGAAAUUUUUUUUCCAACAUAUUAUACACUUGUCUUUUAUCUUUUUGUUAAGGACCCUAGAUGCACAAUGGACCAAUGGUUAUUCAAGGGCUUCUCCCAGGUCUUCCUCUAGGCUGUUAUGUCCAUUUCUGAACCACUGUACCCCUGGAGUUUUCUUACAAACCUCUUGUAAUCCUUCAUCCUGGAACUUCUGUGGCAUUAUUUACCUCACCCUGUCCGUUGCCAGGCAAACCACAUAGCAAGUUCACUUUCUAGAAUGUAGAGGCCUUCUCUUGCCCAUCUUCCAUUAGAGCCAGCGACACCUACUUGUCAUCUUCUGCUUGCUUGAACUUCCCACUCUCAAAGACCAGUGUUGGUCUCAGACAGCCUUUGACUUGAUAUGAAACUGCAUACUGAGUGCUGGUACAGAGAGCCUGCCCUUCCGUUCCCCUGACUGAAUCCUGCUCUUCUCACCCAAAACUUAGUCUACCCACAGUCUUCCCCACCUCAGUUGAUUAAAAACUCCUACUUGCCAGUUGCUUAAGCCAGAAAUCUCAAAGUCAUCCCUGAUUCCUCUCUUUCUCUCACAUCACAUAUCCAACUUAUACUCUCAAAAUACUGAAUACUUUUUGGCUGGACAUGAUGGCUCACACUUUGGGCUUACAAAGUAUAAUCCCAACACUUUGGGAGGCUGAGGCAGGAGGAUCCCUUGAGCCCAGGGGUUCAAGAUCACCCUAGGCAAUAUAAAAAUACCCCUUCUUUAAAAAAACAAAAAACUGACAAAUUAACUGAUUAGCUGGGCAUGGUGGUACAUGCCUAUAGUCCCAGCUACUCAGGAGCCCCUGAGGCAGGAAAACAACAUGAGCCCUGAUGUUUGAGGCUCCAGUGAGCUAUGAUUGUGCCUGAGUGACAGAGUAAGACCCUGUCUAAAAAAAAAAAAAAAAAAAAAAAAAAAAAAAAAAAACAAAAAAAAAGAGCAUGCUAAGUACUUCUUUGGUGGAUUAAAAAAUUGGAUACAAACUCCUCCUACCCCAGGAUGCAGGUUCCUUUGCAAUUAACUUUGCUAUUCCUCCCAUCAUGACAUGGAGUCUAUUUCCCUCACCACUUAUAUCUAAACUGCCCUUGUGACUUGGUUUAAAAACGUAGAAUGUGGCAGAAAUGAUAUUAUGUGACUUCAAGGUAGGUACUUUGUAGCAUCCCCACUCCCUCUCUUGGAAUACUCCCUAAGGCCACCACAUAAGGAGGCUGGCCUAGCACUGGGGGAUGAAAGGCUGGAGGCUGGAUGAAGGAGAACCAAGGUCCCCUGGCCAUGUGAGGGAGCCAGCCUUGCCGCAGAUGCAGCCACAUGAAUGAGUCCAGAAGAAACCAUCAGAAGAACCACUUGGCCAGCCCACAGAAUGAGGAUAAUAAAUUAUUUUAAGCCACUUUGGUUUUAGGGCAGUGUUACCCAGCAGUGAUGAUGUUCACUUCUCACUACCUGCACUGCCACUUGCACUGCUGCCAUUUUGAUUGGAGCCACCAGCCAGAAUCACUUCAGUAGCUUCUGCCUGGCCUUCCUCCUCCUGUCCUUGGCCCCUACAGCCUCUUCUCAACACCACCCCUAAGUGAUUGCUUCAAAAUACAAGCCAGAUC